GGCAAACGUGGGGCCAGCGGCCGGGUUAAUACGUUGGGGGCUACGGUUAUCCGGAAUUACUGGGCGUAAAGGGGGCGUAGGUGGUUUCUUAAGUCAGAGGUGAAAGGCUACGGCUCAACCGUAGUAAGCCUUUGAAACUGGGAAACUUGAGUGCAGGAGAGGAGAGUGGAAUUCCUAGUGUAGCGGUGAAAUGCGUAGAUAUUAGGAGGAACACCAGUUGCGAAGGCGGCUCUCUGGACUGUAACUGACACUGAGGCACGAAAGCGUGGGGAGCAAACAGGAUUAGAUACCCGAGUAGUC
rnacentral:rRNA from 1 species